rnacentral:rRNA from 1 species
CGCGAAGAACCUUACCAACUCUUGACAUCCCAUUGACCGCUUGAGAGAUCAAGUUUUCCCUUCGGGGACAAUGGUGACAGGUGGUGCAUGGUUGUCGUCAGCUCGUGUCGUGAGAUGUUGGGUUAAGUCCCGCAACGAGCGCAACCCCUAUCCUUAGUUGCCAGCAUUUGGUUGGGCACUCUAGGGAGACUGCCGGUGACAAACCGGAGGAAGGUGGGGAUGACGUCAAAUCAUCAUGUCCCUUAUGAGUUGGGCUACACACGUGCUACAAUGGACGGUACAAAGGGCAGCGAGACCGCGAGGUGGAGCCAAUCCCAUAAAGCCGUUCCCAGUUCGGAUUGCAGGCUGCAACUCGCCUGCAUGAAGUCGGAAUCGCUAGUAAUCGCAGGUCAGCAUACUGCGGUGAAUACGUUCCCGGGUCUUGUACACACCG